UUGGAGGGGCAAGUCUGGUGCCAGCAGCCGCGGUAAUUCCAGCUCCAAUAGCGUAUAUUAAAGUUGUUGCAGUUAAAAAGCUCGUAGUUGAACCUUGGGUCUGGCUGGCCGGUCCGCCUCACCGCGAGUACUGGUCCGGCUGGACCUUUCCUUCUGGGGAACCUCAUGGCCUUCACUGGCUGUGGGGGGAACCAGGACUUUUACUGUGAAAAAAUUAGAGUGCUCAAAGCAGGCCUUUGCUCGAAUACAUUAGCAUGGAAUAAUAGAAUAGGACG
rnacentral:rRNA from 1 species